rnacentral:lncRNA from 1 species
CGGGUGCCCUGCUGGCAAGAAGUCAGUGUAAUGAAGAAUGACAGGGGGAAAUGGAAGGAGAAAAAAAAAUGCUAAAAAGCCUAGAGAUGACCACAUAUGAAACGACCAUGUGUGUAAAGGAUUGCUGGAAAAUAAAUCAGGUACAACCUUUUCUGCUCCUUACCAAACAGUACCACCUUCCCCUUUGCCCUACUUCGACUCUGGAGAGAGCAGAAACCACAGCAAGAAAGCUGACAGCGAGGAAGAGAAGCAAGGAAAGGCACCCAGAGAAGAAGGCUUGGGUCCCAGCUCCAAAAUAUCUCAUUAUCUGUAUUUGAAUAUCCCCAAAU